rnacentral:rRNA from 1 species
CUGCCAGCCGCCGCGGUAAUACGGAGGGUGCGAGCGUUAAUCGGAAUUACUGGGCGUAAAGGGCGCGUAGGCGGUCGCGCAAGUCGGGUGUGAAAGCCCCGGGCUCAACCUGGGAAUUGCAUUCGAUACUGCGUAACUAGAGUCUGGUAGAGGGAAGCGGAAUUCCGCAUGUAGCGGUGAAAUGCGUAGAUAUGCGGAGGAACACCAGUGGCGAAGGCGGCUUCCUGGACCAAGACUGACGCUGAGGCGCGAAAGCGUGGGGAGCAAACAGGAUUAGAUACCCUGGUAGUCCACGCCCUAAACGAUGAGGACUAGACGUUGGGGGGAUAAAACCCUUUAGUGUCGCAGCUAACGCGUGAAGUCCUCCGCCUGGGGAGUACGGCCGCAAGGUUGAAACUCAAAUGAAUUGGCGG